rnacentral:lncRNA from 1 species
UCUUUUGGAUUUAGAUUGUCGUCGAAGGUGCACGUAAGUAUUCGUACUCUCCUAGUGGAAUAUCCGAAUAUUAUACGCAUUAAAAGUUUUUCUAAUAUAAUUCUGGAUGCUUUUGUGUUAAGUUGUAGGUUAGAUAUGUAUGUGAAUUUUCCGUUUUUGCUGGGGAUAGUCGCAUUAAAACAAUUAAACGACGUUAAAAUCUUUACUUGACUAGUUAUUUUAUGACGAAUGUGUGGUCAUGGUUGAGGGGUUACUGUCAUCGAGAUGACAUGUUAUUCGGGAUUGAAUUAUAAUGUGAAGUGCAGUUAAUGGUAUGGCUAGAAAUUUUAUUUGCAUGUGUCUUGUUCAAACAUUUUAAAAUUUCCUGAAGGGUAGGAUGACUGUGGAUAACUUGGUUGGCAUUUCAAAAGCUUAUACUACUUGCUUGUUUGUCUCCUAUCAGGCUGCAUCGCCUAGUUGAUCCAUGGUAAUGGCUUUGUUAAAAAUUGAGAACAUUGUGUAGGGGAUAAGAGGUUGUCAUAUUAAGUUUUUUCUAGGGUCAAUCCUCCAUUGUAGAUACAGUUGCAUGUGCCAUCAGAUCUCAUGGAUCUGAAGACAUGCUGGACCAAUACUUAGUGGUCAAGCAGCCUGGUGCCAUGCAGUACACUUAGCUGAGCCUCCUAUGUGUUAAAGUUACCAUUGAGCAAUUGCAAUUUUUUCGUUAAUGGUGACUUAACAUUAAUAUGAGAAGGUAAGAUUUGGAUUUCAAUAAAUUGCAAACGUUUUGGUAUAGAUCUGUUUCAUUAAAGUUUUCAUUGUUUAAUUUUUAACACUUCAUUAUGCUAAUUUUUCUUUCAGUUUGAUAUAGGAGGAAUUUAAAGUGAAGCUUCUUUUUCACCCUGGUGGAAUGGUGAAGGUAAAUUUGCAAAGAUGAAUGUUUUAUAAUUAAGUGGAUUAUGUGCCUAUUAGUUCCUGUCCUUUUCUGGAUUUGAUUUUGUUUUAUGGUACAUCAUUUUGUUGAUUGUGUCGUAGGUCUGCUAGUGUUGGUUGAUUAAUACCAGGUUGUUUAAGCAUGCUUCCAUUGUUGAAUUUGGAAGUGUGAUAUUGGCUAUUGUCUCCUUGUAUAAAAGGUAUACAAUGCUAAAGGUUUUAUCUUGGUCUUUAUUUUUCCAACUGAAUGUUGUAACCUCUGUUUCUUAAAAUUGAUAAAGGUUGGUCUUUUGGUAUGGCCGGCUAGCUAGGUUUUUCCGUUGCCCGUUUCUUCUGCUACCUAGAGGUAUUGUUUAUUCUAGAAAUAGGUGCAUUUUCUGAAAUUGAUGUCGAAUUUAACUACAUUCCGUUUGGUUGUCGAUCUCUAAAAAUUUGAAUUAGCUGAGUGUAUGAAAUUCUUUCUUUUCAGAUUUUUGCUGUGAGUUUUGACCCUUGGUUCUGUGCAUUGAAUUAGCAGUUUUCUGCUUCGGAUAAUUUCAUUAAAACUAAAUUAUUAAUAUCUUAGUUAGUUUAGUGAACAAAUUGAAAAGUAUCCAUUACCUAAGAUAUUUCGCGUUUAUAUAUUUUUCGCAUUCGUGUAAAUUUUGCGUUCCUCUUGGAUUUAUUUUGCAUGAUUGGUGAGUUUCCGAUUUAGUUGAAAAUUCGCGUGAAUCUGAGUAUACCAUUUUGCGCUGCGAUUAAUGUUGAUAUCAACUACCAUUUCGUUCUUAUUCCCUUUUUAGGUGGCUCGGUCUUAGCUAGGGGAUGUCCAAUUGUGAGUAUAUUGGUGAUGCAUUAACGACCUACUUUUUAGUGAUUAGUAGGUAUGGUCUUCGUUGGCAAAGUCUCCCACUACCUGUCCAAAAAUACACGUGAAACAAAAUUCAAUAAAUGAUAGCGAAGAUAUGGGUUUUAGUUUUUAGCAACCCAUGCAAAUCUUGUACCAAUGUUGGUCACUUUACUUUUAAUGGGCUUUGUUUAGAGCUUCUGGAUCAUAAUCGAAAAGGCCGGUGAUGGUAAUUUAACGGGAAAGAAUUGUGUCGUUAAUUCGAUGGUAUUGUUUGUGGCAUUUGGCGGAGCAUCCGAAGAUUUUCUUAAAAAUAAAAUCUCUUUUACAAUUUU